CACACUUAAUAGAGCAAAGCACAAAUGUUUCAGUUCCUGACCAUUAAUAACGCACCAGUAGUUUCAUUUAGACUGUAGUGUCGCUUAGCAACUGAAAGAUGAACAGUAAGAUUUAUUUGGUUCUUCUCUGCGUGUUAGCCGUGUAUAUCGCAACUAUACAGGCCCAGACGGCAGAGCCAGUGAUUACGGAAUCUGUUACAGACGGGGACACCAACUCAACGGAUCUAGAAACAAUCGAUACCCCAACUGAAGAAAGCACAGCCAGCUCUAUGACUUCGUUGGUUGGCGUAGUGCUUACCUCCUUGAUACUCACGUUAGCAAAACAGUAACCAGGCGACCCAAGAAGCCGGAUAUUUCAGGUGGUGGCACUGAGUGGAUGAUAAGCUUAUCAUCGAGUAUCAAUACAAUGACGUGUGAGCAUGUGACCCACAACGAAGUUAUCAAGAAUUAUGAUAUGUAUAUUUAAAGACAAAAAGAAAUCCUUUUGUAGAAAUUGACAACUGUGCAUCAGAGCUGAUGACGUCUCCUGAUAGUGACGUGUAAACAUUGUGCAUCAUCAAGACAUCACUGUGAUAAUUAUGAACCACAUGCUUACCUGAUAGACAUCAAAUUGAAAUGCUAAACAAAUUUUAUAUAUAAAUAUCGCUAUAUAGAUUGUAUGUCACGAUAUGACGGAACUGAAGAACACACGUAAUUUGCACAUGUUGUUGAUCUUUCAUAUUAGGUAUAUUGUGCGUUUGCUAGACAAACUGUUAAGUUUAUUAACGUAUCCCAUUGAUACUAUUUAUUAUUUUACUGAAUAAACACACUCAAUAAAAUA